AACCAUUGAUUUACUUCCAUCCAAGGGACAAUACUCACUCUCCACUAUCAUAUAAAAACCAAAUUAACACCCAAAAACCCUAAGCUAAUUCCCCCACUUCAGACACAAAAAAGGAACGGGCAGCCACAUAAACACACAAAUAGUAGAGAGGAACGAGAAGAAGAGGAUUGUUUUUGGACAGAAAUUUUGAGGGAAAAGUUUGAGAGAAGAAAGGUCCUUCUGAUUCUUCCAUCUUCAAUUUUUUUUUAUUUUUAUUUUAAAUCCAAAACACACACACACACACAAAAAGAAGAUUUAUGUUCGGAUUUUGGUUUUUAAUAUGGGGUUUAGUUGAGUCGAGGUGUCGAUUCGAUCGUGACUGGUUGAGGUCCGUUCGUGGUUCGGUUCAUGGUUCUGUUCAAAUUUGACUACCAUUCGAAUUCCUGUACUCCGUUGUUGAUUCGAUUUUCGUUCCUGAAUUCGAUUGUAGUCGCACCAUUGAACUGAAUACACUGAAAAAAGCUUCAUCUCAGGUUCAUCCCUUUUCUCUUUUACUACCUCACGUUGGUGUUGAUUUGAAUAUGAUAAGGGUCGUGGUUAAUUUGCUUGGUCUUUAAUAUUCCGAUGAAUAAUUGUCACUCGGAUCUGUUUGGAUUUAAGUCAAAAGGAUUAGAGUUUGGUCGAUUUCAUACUUGAUAGUUAAGCUUAAGUGACUGAUUCUUUGCUUGCAAUUCCUAGAGUUUUGUUCGUUUUCCUGAAGUUGAGCAUCUGCUCGUUUACUUUCAACUAAGUUGGAUAGAUUAGGUGGCCUUAUUGAUAUCAUUAAACUACUGAACCUAUUUUGAGAUAUGAAAAUUGAAAUAUUGAUAUGUUAGAAUGCUCUCAAAAUUCAUCAAGCUGAAGCAUGGGUGCUCGUGGCAUUUUUCUAGCAAAUUGUCUUAUUUUUCCUUAUUUGCCUUUUUUUUGGUUUAAAUGAGAAAUUUUGGAGUUUCCUUUGAAAAUAUUGAUCUUUGCCUAUUGUGCAUGAAGUGAGCAUGUAGAGUCUUUCCAGUAUACUAGUCGGAUCAUUAUUAGUUUAAGUCUGCUCAGUCUAUGUUUCUUGCGUCGAGUGAAAAGGAAAGGUCUAGCUAGCAAUUGUGUGCAAUUUCAGCCGCCUUCUCAUGCAUGCUAAGUUCUUAGUUGCUUAUAACAUGUCAUCAUUCAUGAUUAAAACCAACAAACUAGUUUUUCUGUGAUGUGAAGGCCAUUGGGAAUGUUUAAGUGGCUUAGGAGUUAUUCGUGGAGUCUGAACUCACCAUAUCUACAUGUAUGAUUAAUUUGUUAUUCCUCGAUGCAAAUUUGUUGUUGUGUAGUAGGUUGAGUUGAAAGCAUGGCAUCUCGUUUCUGAUCUUCAUCGUGUAACUCCUGAGAGUUUGUUUUUAGUUCUGUUGUUUGGUUGUUUCCUCCUAAUCAUCAUGUUUGGAAUUGUUUCUUCAUGGAAAAAGUUUUCUGAAUACAUCUUUGAUAUGAUACAAUUUUCGUUCCCAUAGGAACAUUGGCGUGAGACAUUGGAUUUUUGAGCAUGCAAGGUUGCUUUGUUAGUUGAGUAGGUGCAAAUGUAUCAUUGAUUUAUGGGAUUGUGGUCUUAUUUAUGGGAUGAUUAGUGGGAAGUCACGGCUCUUAUCAUAUUUGGAUCCACCAUUUGUCUCUUUUAUUAUUAUUAUUUGUGUUCUUCUUUAGUUUAUAUAUUCUAGAUGCCUAUUUUGAUUUGGUUUGAUAGUAUUUGUUUGGAUGAUUGCUGAACUGUGGGAAUGGGGAAUGACCAAAGCCCAUUAGUGAUUAAUUUGUUCACGUCCUUUGGGAAUUGGGCUUGGUCUAAUGCAUGAAAUAAGAAGUUUAAAAAGGAAUGGGCAUGAAAUCUCUUUUAGUAAAAGUACUCCAUAAUCACGGGCAUUUUCACAUACAAUCACCGAAUUAGGGAUUACACAACUUAUAAAAACUCAUAGCUUGCUUUAGGCGCGAUUAACAAAUCAUGGUGACUAUGGGUAUGGUUCCCGUGGCAUGGUCAUGAUACGUAAACCCCGAUUCGCGUGUGCGUUUCACGUGACUCGAUCAUAACUUAAAACAAUAAUAAAAUAAAUAUGUUGUAAAUUGUGGGUACGUUUCACGUAGCGCGAUUCGAAAUGUGUACAAAAAUAAGCGAGUGCGCGACAUCGCGACUUGUUCAAACAAAUUCCAUAAAUAUUAAAAGCGGUUAAAAAGUUAAAAAUGCACAAUAGGUUUUAAACAUGUAUUAAAUCAGAUAAUUAGGCCAAGUAUUAAUAGUUGAGCGACCGUGCUAAAACCACGGAACUCGGGAGUGCCUCACGCCUUCUCCCGGGUUAACAAAAUUCCUUACCCGGUCUUCUGGUUUUCGCAGACUUUAAAACAGAGUCAAAUUUCCUCGAUUUGAGAUUUAAAAUAAACCGGUGACUUGAGACACCAUAAAUUAUUUCAAGUGGCGACUCUGAUUAAAUAAAUAAUCUCAUUUCGAUUAAUGUCAUUUUAAUUGGAAAAACUCCUUAUCCCCUCGGAAAAGGGAGGUGUGACAAGGGGUUGUUGUGUAAUAAGCGCAUAAUGUCCACUGGAACGCCCAUGGAUUUUAUCAUCAACUUGAUGAAUUAGUUUCAAGAUAUAAGGUUUUCCUAUUAUAACGGGUUGUUCAAAAGGAUUCCCCGUUUCCAUCAAAUAUUGUGCUUUUUCUUGGAUAUUCGGGCUCCAAUAACACAAUUCCGGGAGAAGUCGGUAGUUGGGCACUGGAUCCUUCGGACCUCGAGAAUGUUGAUCAAUUAUGGACAUGUUUAAUUUUGUAUCACCUAUCUUGGGGAGAUGUCAACAUUUACACCCAUAUAAUAAUACUGGUAUUGCAACUAAGAUUUCCCCCUUAUUAAUGACAAGGAAAAAAUGUAGAAAGAUUAGACAGUACUGUUCCUGUUAUUGCCCCAGAAGUUUCGCAAUCCAGCUAAUUCUGAACACGCUAGCCUUCUGUUUAUAUUACUAAGUCCAUGACCUCUAUAAAUAUAUUGCACCGUCUUUGGCUCCGCUUCAACAUAAAAAGACGUCUUUACUUAGAGCCAUGAGAAGGAGAGUUUCUGAUAUUUUAGUAUCCAAUUGGAACUUUGUGUGGGCAAUAAAUAUCACCAUUUUCAAGUUGUUACAAUUGCUAGGCUACUUCAAUACAAUAUUAAAAGGGAGUUUAUUCCCUUCACUCUUCUUCUCAGCAACUUUUAGUUUGUUGCUGCUGUUUCUUGCACUUGUUUUUGACAUCGUUCGAAGCAGUUCAGAUUCAAAUGUUAUUAUUCACUUGAAGACCUGCAAAGGUUAGGACGUGGCAUAUGUUCGCAUGCUUACCCAAAUUGCUAUAUCGUUUAUGAUUGAAAAAAUAUAAACCCGAUAUUAAUAAUUAUAUAUAUAUUCUCCACUUUUUAUGGUUAAGAGUGUUGUUGUGAAUGUACUUAUGUAUCAUUUUAAUUUAUAUGUUCCCAGCAUACAUAAAUGUCUCUGUUUCUUGCAUCGCCAGUUUUUUUGUCAUUUUAUUUUUAUCCUUUUGACCCUGUAAGUUGUUAAAAUGUAGUAGGAGUAAAAUAUAAACCGACAUUAUUUUUCAACCGUGCGUUCCCUUUAGCUUUGUAUAUUCGCUCUUCACUCGAUUUCAACCAAUCCCUUUAGCUUCCAGUGUUGUGGAUACUAGAUAAUUUUUUGUUCUUGGUUCUUCUUUAACUUAGUGAUAUAAAACUUAUGUACAUCAACAUGUGUAAAAGAUUUUUCAUAUUAUUAUGUUAUUUGUGUUAGGUGUUUGCCUUAAUUUUUUUACCAUAUUUUAUUUUCCUAUCUCUUGAAGAAAAUGACAACAUAUUUAUCAUAAUUGGAUUUUCCUUCUUGUAGCUAAAUCUUCCAUAUUUGGCUAAUCUUUUUUCUUGUAGGAAAAUAUAUGGACUUCUAUAAAUUGAGGAUCUUUCUUUCUUACUCAGCAGCAUCCACGAUGUAGCUAUAUAGGGUUUGUUAGUGUAUCACUUGUGUUUGACUAUUCGUGAGGUUGUUCUCUCGAUAUUUUGUACUCUCUUUUAUAUAGUGGAUUGCUUAUCUCCAUCUGUGGACGUAUGUCAAAUUGACGGAACUACAUUAAAUGUUUGUGUUUUUUUUUGGUAUAUUUCUUUUU
rnacentral:lncRNA from 1 species